UUUUAGAUUUUAAUUUAUUAAAAGUUUAAUCUGCCCAUUGAAUUUAUUUUUAAAAGGCUGCAAUAUUUUAAUUGUACUAAGGUAGCAUAAUCAUUAGUUUUUUAAUUGGAAACUGGUAUGAAUGAUUGGAUGAAAAAUUUACUUUAUUAAUUUAAUUAUUUGAAUUUUUCUUUUAAAUUAAAAGAUUUAAAUAAAAUUAAAAGACGAGAAGACCCUAUAGAAUUUUAUAAUUUAUAUUAUUAAAUUAAUCUUAUUAUAUUUUUUUUUUAUUGAUUUAUAUUAUUUAAUUGGGAUGAUUUUUAAAUUUAUUGAACUUUAUAAUUUUAUUACAUUUAUAUAUGAAAUUUUAUUGAUCCAUUAUUAAUGAUUAAAAAAUUAAAUUACCUUAGGGAUAACAGCGUAAUUUUUUUUUUAGUUCUUAUUUAUAAAAAAAAUUGCGACCUCGAUGUUGGAUUAAGAAAUAUAUUAGGUGCAGUAGCUUAAAUAAUUUAGUC
rnacentral:rRNA from 1 species